rnacentral:rRNA from 1 species
ACGAACGCUGGCGGCAUGCCUAACACAUGCAAGUCGAACGCGACCUUCGGGUCUAGUGGCGCACGGGUGCGUAACGCGUGGGAACCUGCCCUUAGGUUCGGAAUAACUCCCCGAAAGGGGUGCUAAUACCGGAUAAUGUCUUCGGACCAAAGAUUUAUCGCCUUUGGAUGGGCCCGCGUUGGAUUAGCUAGUUGGUAGGGUAAAAGCCUACCAAGGCGACGAUCCAUAGCUGGUCUGAGAGGAUGAUCAGCCACACUGGGACUGAGACACGGCCCAGACUCCUACGGGAGGCAGCAGUGGGGAAUAUUGGACAAUGGGCGAAAGCCUGAUCCAGCAAUGCCGCGUGAGUGAUAAAGGCCUUAGGGUUGUAAAGCUCUUUUACCCGGGAUGAUAAUGACAGUACCGGGAGAAUAAGCUCCGGCUAACUCCGUG